ACGGUAGCACAGAGGAGCUUGCUCCUUGGGUGACGAGUGGCGGACGGGUGAGUAAUGUCUGGGAAACUGCCCGAUGGAGGGGGAUAACUACUGGAAACGGUAGCUAAUACCGCAUAACGUCGCAAGACCAAAGAGGGGGACCUUCGGGCCUCUUGCCAUCGGAUGUGCCCAGAUGGGAUUAGCUAGUAGGUGGGGUAACGGCUCACCUAGGCGACGAUCCCUAGCUGGUCUGAGAGGAUGACCAGCCACACUGGAACUGAGACACGGUCCAGACUCCUACGGGAGGCAGCAGUGGGGAAUAUUGCACAAUGGGCGCAAGCCUGAUGCAGCCAUGCCGCGUGUAUGAAGAAGGCCUUCGGGUUGUAAAGUACUUUCAGCGAGGAGGAAGGCGUUGUGGUUAAUAACCGCA
rnacentral:rRNA from 1 species